UUAGUACUCCCUCCGUCCGGAAAUACACGUCGGAGAAAUGGAUGUAUCUAGACGUAUUUUAGUUAUAGAUACAUCCAAUUUUAUUCACCCCUCCGACAAAUAUUUUGGGAAGGAGGGAGUACUAG
rfam:Triticum aestivum genome assembly, contig: Triticum_aestivum_CS42_TGACv1_scaffold_322380_4BL